rnacentral:lncRNA from 1 species
GAGCUAUGCUAAAUUUUACCUAGUGCAGACUGUGGACUGCAUGAAUUCAACAUGGAAAAAUGCCAUUGCAAGAGUGCUAGAAAUGCAUAUAACCUAGCAAAAGCACUGUCCUUCUCUCACAAGGGCAGGAUCCAAGGAUUCUUUCUACAUUGUAGUAUUUCUGGGAUUUCUACUGCCUCAACAGCCAACAUUACUCCUGCUAAUUCAAAAGCAUAGCCAUGGACUUGGGAAGAGCAGCUGUAUGAGCAGAAUCAGCCAGAAUCUAAAUGUAAGAGGAGAGAAGAGGGACUGAGAGCUGUGUAGUACUGUAACUGUUACAUCACAUGGGAAUUUGAGCCACAAAACCUAGCUAUCGCCUAUUGUGUGCUACAGCUUCUGUAACCUGACCUGACCAAUAAGUCCUUUAAUUAAUUACAAUUGGGGCUAUACUUCUGUACAUUUACAAAAGCCAGGAGAAGACUCCUUGUACCUAUUCAACCAGUUGCUGUUAAUGUAUACAGCUCUUAAAAAGCACACUUGGAGCAGCCAUGAGCAUGAUGUGCUUUCUGAUCUUUUCAACUCCCAUCCAUGCUAACUGCCCUCUAGAGUGCCUGUAGACAUCGUGUUGUGUUUGGAAGGUCUUCCAGCAUACUAAGGCAUUGCAUGUACUACUUGAUCAUAAGGCUUUCUCUGGGUGUGCCUGAAGCCAUGCUUAUAUGAACAGCAUGCCUGGUCUUGAGAGCACAUCGAAGUAUCACUUCAGAGGCAACAGAAGGUGCUGUUUGUCUUUUAUUUAUUACUAAUGUAGAUAAGAUACUGCAAAUAAUGGCAAGUUUAAAAAAAAUCAGAUUGUUACAACUGCUUUCUUCCCUUUGCAGUGGAAAUGUAUUUAGCGAUCUCUCCCCAUUUAUUAUUUCUGAUAGAAGCAAAGUCUUACCACAGAAUUAGCUGAAAUUUCAUAUAUCUGAAUCCAUGUUCAUUCUUCCAGCAACAUCUUUCACAUUUUUUCCUUUCCUUCUCUUUUUUGGAAUUUGUGGUU